AGGUAACCAUGGUGACUGGAACACUACAGAUCACAGGCUGAGAGUCAGGAGUAGGUAGCCAUGGUGACUGGGUACACUACAGAUCACAGGCUGAGAGUCAGGAGUAGGUAUCCAUGGUGACUGGGUACACUACAGAUCACAGGCUGAGAGUCAGGAGUAGGUAUCCAUGGUGACUGGGUACACUACAGAUCACAGGCUGAGAGUCUCAGGAGUAGGUAGCCAUGGUGACUGGAACACUACAGAUCACAGGCUGAGAGUCAGGAGUAGGUAGCCAUGGUGACUGGAACACUACAGAUCACAGGCUGAGAGUCUCAGGAGUAGGUAACCAUGGUGACUGGAACACUACAGAUCACAGGCUGAGAGUCAGGAGUAGGUAGCCAUGGUGACUGGAACACUACAGAUCAGACUUCUAUUAAAAAUAAUAUUUACUGACUUGUUUUUCUCUUCCUGUUUGUUGUGUUCUAUUCCUCAGCUCUGAACAGUCCAGAUGAGGUCAAGGAGGAGGAGGACACUGUCAACUCUGUAGAUUGACACCAGGCCCUACAGGGGUGUACCGUACUCCAGGGGUGUAGCUCGUUCCUCACAGGGGUGUACUCCAGCCUUCACAGGGGUGUACCGUACUCCAGGGGUGUAGCUCGUUCCUCACAGGGUUGUAUUUUUGGGGUGUACUUCAGCCCUCACAAAUCACAGUAUCUCGUUCCUCACAGGGGUGUAUCUCGUUCCUCACAGGGGUGUAUCUCGUUCCUCACAGGGGUGUAUCUCGUUCCUCACAGGGGUGUACUCCAGCCCUCACAGAUCACAGAAUCUCGUUCCUCACAGGGGUGAAUCUCGUUCCUCACAGGGGUGUAUCCCAUCUUUACCAUAUACUUUACUGUAAGAGCGGUUGCUUUUACCUCAGGACAGUCGCGUUUAUUGAUCACGUUUAAUGAUCACGUUUAUUGUACAAUUGACUGAAAGUGCAAUUUAUGCAGUGUGUUUUUUUUUCUUUUCCUCCUUGUUAAUCAUCAUGAGGAACUUGUUUGCUAUCGUUUUAAAAUCAUGGAUUUUCUUUUUUAAAUGACAACCUACGAAAACCCUGGAUGUAACAAGAUAUGGUGUAUAUAUUAGUGCAUAGGAAAUGUCUUUUUAAUAGUGUUUCUAACCCUGUUGCAUAGUCUUCUGAGAUGAUCAUUUACUUCAAUAAAGGUUAAUUUUAUUUGUUUAAAUUAAAUUAAUUCCUUAAUUCAAUUGUUUUAAGUGGUUUACGGACUAUUCUAUUCAUUUGCCAACAACAACAAAAAAAUCCAUCCAUUUCUAUUGGGACUUUGUCACAACAAUUAAGAUUCAAUCGGAAGAUUUGAAUUUAUUCCCAUAAAAUAACAAUAAAAAGGUCAAAAUGCAACACUAUUUUGGGUAUAUUCCACAAGACUGAAAAUCCACCACUUCGAGAUAUAAUGGACAGAACCCACCAGCUACAAAUCAUUUACCCAGCAUGCUUUGCGUGAACUUGAUCGGGAGUCAUCGCUAGUUGCCAAAGUCGUACACCUUGCCCGAAUUUCUACAAUUUCUCUUCUUCAAAUGCAUUUUUAAAGAUAACCUUAUUAACCACACUGCUAACUUUUUUGUUUUUGUUAGUUUAAACUUAAAUGAAGGCCAAAAACAAACCAUGAAAUUCCUGCGCGGUUUAACCCGUUUAGACUUUGUGGCUGUGGUAUCGAGUGGAAACUGGAGCUCCGUAAGAGGCUGGUUAUACGGACGCACCUGGUGCCCAAAUGGAUGGCGGAUAGAGUCGGUUCAGUCGGUUGUCCGGUCGGUUGCCCUUCCCCGCUAGUUUAUGCCGGUAACAACCGCCGUAGCAUGGCUCUAGUUAUUAAAACUUGUCAAAUAAAGUGAGAAGAGAAGUAACUUGGUAGUAUUUAUCACUAGCUCCAAUUUGUUCCAACAAUACACUUGGAUUAUAUUUCGAAUAGGAUAAACUGAAAUUGAAUAGCUAAUUAGCAAAAGAGAAGACAAGACUACAGCAGUCCAUGAUGAAUCCACGUGCUGUAUUGAAAUUAAUUGAAUAAAGCGUUGAAGUCCUCAUCUCCUUUCUCUGUCUUAGCUAGCCACUAACUACACUUUAGCUAGCUAGUUAGCAGAGCAGUAGAUACAAAAAUUAUUUUGUAUUACUUAGUCUUAGAGAAGACUGCUGAGUGGGGAUAUAUAUUCCACUGAUUCUGCUCUAGCCAUUAGCACGAGCCCGUCCUCCCUAAUUAAGGUGUCACCAAAUUCCUGUUGCUUAGCCUAGAUAAUUGUUUAUACAGACUGGCGAUUCUGGUGUCUAUUUCAGAACUCAUGGUAUUUUUCAAGGACGAGCAAAAGAGCAUUAAAAGGGGCGA
rnacentral:lncRNA from 8 species